rnacentral:rRNA from 1 species
UGGGAACGUGCCUUUCGGUUCGGAACAACUCCGGGAAACUGGAGCUAAUACAGGAUACGCCCUUCGGGGAAAGAUUUAUCGCCGAAAGAUCGGCCCGCGUCUGAUUAGCUAGUUGGUGGGGUAACGGCCUACCAAGGCGACGAUCAGUAGCUGGUCUGAGAGGAUGGCCAGCCACAUUGGGACUGAGACACGGCCCAGACUCCUACGGGAGGCAG